rnacentral:tRNA from 1 species
GGCGCCAUGGCAGAUCGGUUAUGCAGGGGCCUGCAAAGCUCCGUAGUCCGGUUCGACUCCGGAUGGUGCCUCCA